AUUAAUAUCGUGGAAAGCUUAUUUCAAUCCACCAGUUUAAAAAGUAUUAGAUUAUAACCGCUGCACAAAUUCAAAUUAGAGCUUCCUAUAAUUGUAAAAAACUCUGUAUUUGACAUUUGACAAUUUAAGGUCUUGUCCAAAAAAAUGCACAAAAUUAGUUACUACUAUGUGUUUUGUUAUCGUAUACUCUACGACGCUUUAACUUGUGUAGUCGGCACGUUUUCAAUCGCCCGUACGUUUAUAUAUGUGAACAGUGCGUGUCCUUAGCACUUUACAUACAGUGCAUAUUCGCACUUAAUCUUAUAUACAGUAGGGUGGGGAAAGACGGGACACCUGUAGCACGUAGUAUCUAAAUAUCGUGUUUCAAACAAUUAACAACGGCAUAUGGGAGUCGUGAGAAUACGGUUUAAAAUUCUUUGAAUGUUCUUUGUAUACUACCAAAUUGGACGAGGAAAUCGAAUAAAAAGGUGUCCCAUCUUACCCCAACCUAUACUAUAUAACGUUGAAACGUUAACCAUAUAUUUAUUAAUUUGCAUUACCCACAUUUACAAAAUUUUAUAACCCUAACCCGGCGACUCUAAAGACCAUUGUGAAGUAUUAAAAACACGGAAAUGUG